UACAGAGGGGGCAAGCGUUGUUCGGAAUUACUGGGCGUAAAGGGCGCGUAGGCGGCCUUCUAAGUCGAACGUGAAAUCCCCGGGCUCAACCCGGGAACUGCGUCCGAUACUGGAAGGCUAGAAUCCGGGAGAGGGAUGUGGAAUUCCAGGUGUAGCGGUGAAAUGCGUAGAUAUCAGGAGGAAUACCGAUGGCGAAGGCAGGUCUCUGGGCUAUAACUGACGCUCAUGACACGAAAGGCGUGGGGAGCAAACAGG
rnacentral:rRNA from 1 species